rnacentral:lncRNA from 1 species
AAAUUUGAACCCCAAGUUUUUUCUCGAUAUUUUGACGUCUAGUAAAUGCAGAAAUAAAGAAAAUAAAUUUUAGCAUGCAUAUCGAACAGGUUUACACAUUGUUCCUUUACUAUUACAGGUAGUUUAUACUAAUAUUUGCUUAUUUCUAAACUUAUUAGCAUAUAGCCAGAAUUUUAAGAAUUCCAAAGUAUACUUACAGCUAACCAUACAAAUUCUUGUGGGAACAAAGCCGGACUAGUUUGCAUACUGUAUGCAUGGUGGUUCCGAUCGAAAUGGUCUGUCUUGUGUGAAGGUAGCCACAGGCACAUAAGGCCAAGCUACUAAACAAGCCCCCAAUAUUUGAUGUACAUACCUUUUACUUCAUUUUAGUGAGCAUUGGUUUUGGUGUGUUUGUCAUGAUCACAGUUACUCCCAUAUGUCUAGCCGCUGGAGCUAUUAUGGUGUAUGUUGAAUAAUUUGUGCUAGAGACAGAUAUUAAACGCUUGACAUUGGAAAAAUACAUAAAAUUCCGUUAAAACUACAAUCUUGGCCAAAAGCUUGUAGAACAACUGAAGGUUUCCUAUUUUCUCUGAGUGGUCGUGGGCUGCUCAUACAGCGCGUGCCAAAAUGGGGUCUGUUGUCACAAUAAUUGUCACACAAAACUGCCAAAACCAUGAAAAAAAUAUUUAAAAAUUUUUUUGUCCAACCUACAUUACCUACCUUAAUUUUCUCACGAUAUGAAACCGGAACCACAAGUAUUUUUAGGCCCUAUUGCAGCUA